rnacentral:rRNA from 1 species
CCUACGGGAGGCAGCAGUGAGGAAUAUUGGACAAUGGACGAAAGUCUGAUCCAGCUAUGCCGCGUGCAGGAUGACGGCCCUAUGGGUUGUAAACUGCUUUUAUACAGGAAGAAAAAAUCCGACGUGUCGGAUCUUGACGGUACUGUAAGAAUAAGGGUCGGCUAACUCCGUGCCAGCAGCCGCGGUAAUACGGAGGAUCCAAGCGUUAUCCGGAAUCAUUGGGUUUAAAGGGUCCGCAGGCGGUUUUUUAAGUCAGAGGUGAAAUCCUACAGCUCAACUGUAGAAUUGCCUUUGAUACUGAAAGACUUGAGUUAUUGUGAAGUGGUUAGAAUGUGUGGUGUAGCGGUGAAAUGCAUAGAUAUCACACAGAAUACCAAUUGCGAAGGCAGAUCACUAACAAUAUACUGACGCUCAGGGACGAAAGCGUGGGUAGCGAACAGGAUUAGAUACCCUGGUAGUCCACGCCGUAAACGAUGGAUACUAGCUGUAUGUCUACUUCAGGUAGAUGUGUGGCCAAGCGAAAGUGAUAAGUAUCCCACCUGGGGAGUACGAUCGCAAGAUUGAAACUCAAAUGAAUUGACGG